GUAAGAAAUCUGAGAUUAAGUGUAACACACUUCUGUCUGUGGUACAUAUCUGAAGGUACCAGCCACAGAUACAGGCGAAACGUUAGGAAAAAGAUCUACCAGACCA